UGGGGAAUUUUGGACAAUGGGCGCAAGCCUGAUCCAGCCAUGCCGCGUGCGGGAAGGAGGCCUUCGGGUUGUAAACCGCUUUUGUCAGGGAAGAAACGCUCCGGGCUAAUAUCCUGGAGUAAUGACGGUACCUGAAGAAUAAGCACCGGCUAACUACGUGCAAGCAGCCGCGGUAAUACGUAGGGGGCAAGCGUUGUCCGGAUUUAUUGGGCGUAAAGAGCGUGUAGGCGGCUUGGUAGGUCCGCUGUGAAAACUCGAGGCUCAACCUCGAGAUGUCGGCGGAAACCCCCUGGCUAGAGUCCGGAAGAGGAGAGUGGAAUUCCCGGUGUAGCGGUGAAAUGCGCAGAUAUCGGGAAGAACACCGAUGGCGAAGGCAGCUCUCUGGGACGGUACUGACGCUGAGACGCGAAAGCGUGGGGAGCGAACAG
rnacentral:rRNA from 1 species